rnacentral:rRNA from 1 species
UACGUAGGGGGCGAGCGUUGUCCGGAGUUAUUGGGCGUAAAGGGCAUGCAGGCGGUCGGACGCGUUUCGGGUGACAGCGGGUGGCUUAACUACCCGAGUGGUCGAAAGACGGUUUGACUUGAGGACGCGAGAGGGACACGGAAUUCCGGGUGGAGUGGUGAAAUGCGUAGAGAUCCGGAGGAACACCGAAGGCGAAGGCAGUGUCCUGGCGAGUGACUGACGCUGAGGUGCGAAAGCCAGGGGAGCGAACGGG